GGGGGCGCACCGGCUUCGACGGGAAUAUGUCGGGGUCAUGGUUGCAUGCCGAGCUGAUUGCCUCGUAAAAACAAUCACCAACUGUAAUCGCGAACAGCGAAUACGCACUCGCAGCUUAAUUGACUGCGACGCCCAUCAUCGGUCGCUCACGCCGUUGAUCAAGGUGUCAUGAUGUGAGCUACGGACCUGUGAGUGUCUCGAAACAGGUCCCGACAAUUAAGGGGCUGGUCCGGGUCGUUCUCUGCUCUCCGGGCAGGCACGGACGAGAUUCAAGCGAGAGCUAAGCAUGUAGUAGCCAGGCUGCCACUGUUUUCGGACGCGGGUUCAACUCCCGCCGCCUCCACCA
rnacentral:tmRNA from 1 species